rnacentral:rRNA from 1 species
AAACGACUCUCGGCAACGGAUAUCUCGGCUCACGCAUCGAUGAAGAACGUAACAAAAUGCGAUACUUGGUGUGAAUUGCAGAAUCCCGUGAACCAUCGAGUUUUUGAACGCAAGUUGCGCCCGACGCCAUUCGGCUGAGGGCACGCCUGCCUGGGCGUCACG